UUAUCUAAUUAAAAUCAAUAAUUAUUGCUCAAUCAUUAUAUUCAUUAUUAAUUAAUAAGAACUACAUGUGCAUGGAUUGCCUGUUGGAUUGAUGUUUGUUUAAGACGAAAUUUCUCUAAAAUAAGACUCGAGAAAGGUUAUUGCAGCUUGCAGCAACAUCAUGUUUUAUCAAGUAUUGAACCACACAAAGGAUUAAAUCUUCAUUACAAUAUCAUUCAUAACUCCAUUUAAAUCAAUGGAAACUAAAUAUGGAUCGUUUCAUGGAGUAACAACAUACUUUGGAGUUUGGACCCAAAAUACAAUACACGUAGGUACAUUGCAGGCAUAGAUUGCAGGACACAGUGAAUGAUACGUGUUUUAUACAGUGAAUCUAAGUACCUAUUUGUUUCAGGUCAAUAUCGAACUUCGAACUUAUAAGGUGUUAAGCUGCAAUUACAAUAAAAGUGCUUGCUAUGGAAUCACCGGUGCUGAAAGAAAGAAAGAAAAAAUAUUUAUUUGGUUAUGCUGUGACCUAAAUGCAUUAAAUUAGGAAGAUUUGUAUUGGAUGAAUUACCCAGAUAACAAUUAAAACAACUUCUGUUGAUAAGAACAUUAAAUUUGAUUGGUGGAAUCCAGAUUCUGUACAUGUAAUUGAUUGAAAAGUGCACAUUUGACAAGGUGGUGAGAAACGUGUAGGUCAGGCCUGCUUACAGUGGCUAUUGGAUUCGACAGAACUAAAGUGAGAGUGAACGUGUGAAUUUAUGGAGAACAUUAAACUAUUUUACUAUAAGUCAUAACGCAACUUAUUUUGUAUGAGUUACAUACAAAUGUCAAGCCGUGAGUACCUACAUUAUGUAAAAACUAAAACAAUGUACUGUAAUCUUUUAAAAUAAAAUAGUUUUAAUGCUUAUUGAUUUUCGUAAACAAAAUAUUUCAUGUUAUAUUUCAUCAAUAAAGUUUCAUUUGAUA